rnacentral:misc_RNA from 1 species
GAUUGAAGAACGCAGCGAAAUGCGAUAAGUAGUGUGAAUUGCAGAAUUCAGUGAAUCAUCGAAUCUUUGAACGCACAUUGCGCCUCCUGGUAUUCCGGGAGGCAUGCCUGUUCGAGCGUCAUUAAAAACCGUCAAGCACUCUUGCUUGGACUUGGUGGAUGAGUGCCUAUGGCCCUCACCGCCGAAAUCGAAUGGCGGAUAGCCUUGGGGUGCCCCAGCGUAGUAAGUCUUCUUUUGUUCGGAACCCGAGGCGGUCCCGCCCCAAACCCCCCCACAUUCUAUGGUUGACCUCGGAUCAGGUAGGGAUACCCGCUGAACUUAAGCAUAUCAAUAAGCGGAGGA